rnacentral:rRNA from 1 species
UACGAAGGGUCCUAGCGUUGUUCGGAAUUAUUGGGCGUAAAGCGGGUGUAGGUGGCUUUACAAGUCAGGAGUGAAAUCCCUCGGCUUAACCGAGGUAGUGCUUUUGAUACUGUAAAGCUUGAGUACUGGAGAGGAUGAUAGAAUACCUGGUGUAGUGGUGAAAUACGUAGAUAUCAGGUGGAAUACCGGCGGCGAAGGCGGUCAUCUGGCCAGAUACUGACACUGGAGGCGCGAAAGCUAGGGGAGCAAACAGG